GUUAUCGUCUAUUUGAUAGUACCUUACUACUUGGAUAACCGUGGUAAUUCUAGAGCUAAUACAUGCCAAAAACCUCGACUUCGGAAGGGGUGUAUUUAUUAGAUAAAAAGCCAACGCNNUUCGGGGCUCCGUGGUGAUUCAUGAUAACUCAACGAACCGCAUGGCCUUGCGCCGGCGGUGGUUCAUUCGAAUUUCUGCCCUAUCAACUUUCGAUGGUAGGAUAGUGGCCUACCAUGGUUUCAACGGGUAACGGGGAAUUAGGGUUCGAUUCCGGAGAGGGAGCCUGAGAAACGGCUACCACAUCCAAGGAAGGCAGCAGGCGCGCAAAUUACCCAAUACCGACACGGUGAGGUAGUGACAAUAAAUACUGAUACAGGGCUCUUUUGGGUCUUGUAAUUGGAAUGAGNNCAAUUUAAAUACCUUAACGAGGAACAAUUGGAGGGCAAGUCUGGUGCCAGCAGCCGCGGUAAUUCCAGCUCCAAUAGCGUAUAUUAAAGUUGUUGCAGUUAAAAAGCUCGUAGUUGAACCUUGGCCCUGGCUGGCCGGUCCGCCUCACCGCGUGCACUGGUGCGGCCGGGGCUUUCCUCCUGGGGAUCCGCAUGGCCUUCACUGGCCGUGUCCGGGGAACCAGGACUUUUACUUUGAAAAAAUUAGAGUGUUCAAAGCAGGCAUUCGCUCGAAUACAUUAGCAUGGAAUAAUGGAAUAGG
rnacentral:rRNA from 1 species